rnacentral:tRNA from 1 species
GUGCCCGUAGCUCAGCGGAGAGAGCACCUGACUCCGGAUCAGGUUGGAGGUUCGAGUCCUCUCGGGGCACAC